rnacentral:lncRNA from 1 species
GAGGGAGAAACCUGCUGCCGCUCGCCGGCUCUUUGUCUGCUCGGGGACUUGGAACAAAAGGGGAAACUCUGAUGAACUCUCUCCAUCCUCCUCCUCUCUGACGCCUGGUUAUCUUUCCUCUCACAACUUUGCUGGAGAGACUCUCUCCAGCGCUAGGCACCCAACAAGUUCGGGGGCUUUAGGAACUGGAGUUAGAGAACCAUCUCUUUUAGAAUGGAUAAAAGAGGGGGGAAAAGAAGGUGCCAGAAUGAUGAUGGGCAACAUCUAGGAAGCAAGACAAUGGCUAGAAUACCUUUCUAGCAAGGUACCUUCUCCAGGCUGCAUUGUUUUUGUUGGACAUUUCUGACAAUGGAUAUAGCCAGGCCAAACAAUUACGGAGUGAAAGACGCUAACCUUCGCUUGGGAUUAUCGUUUAAGAAUUGAGUUUUGGAUAUGACAUGACUAUUAUGAAGGAUACUGUUACUGUUGGAAAUACAACUUCUUGAUCACUGGGAAUUCUCUGCCUUAUGGAAGAAGUCCAAGUGUCAAACACUAGAGAGAUAUGCGGUGAUUCAGAGUUGAAAUGGGAAGAAAAUGAUACCUGGAAAGAAAAUAUGGCUUCAGGUAAUGACUAAAUCCCAUUUUACUGGAUGGCCACUGAAGCAUGAUCACAAGACAGUCAGAAUGGUGGAUAAGUGCUCCUCAGGCAUGAAUCAUUGCAGACCAGGAAAAGACAAUGAUUUAGUACUUUGA